rnacentral:misc_RNA from 1 species
GGAGGCGGCGAUGUUUUGCCACAGGACGCAAUCUUCGGAAAAUCAAGAACUCUACAGUGUAAUCGGCGACGUAAACCGCGAUAAACCAUAAGGAAUUGAAGAGAGUGGGACGGAAAUUUAUGGUUAUGUGGAGGAAAUUGGAGGUGGGGUUAUAAAUAAUAAAUUAAUUAUUGAGGUUGGGGAAAAGAAGGCGGUGGAAAUUGAGGAGAAAUGGAAAGAAAGUAGUGGGAAGCGGUGAAAAAUUGUGAUUCUGGGAAGGACGGAGGUAGUAGGUUGGGGAAGAAGCGUGGUAGGAAGCCCAAGAAAAAUAAGGAAAGAUUGCAUGUUCAGGAUGCUGAGUGCGCACCUGUUGAACAGAGUGGUGAAAAAGUGGAAAAGGUUGAAGGCGAAAGCCCAGCGAAUGGUCAGACGAUGAAAGAGAAUGGUCCAGCUCGCCGCUUCUGGCACAUCAGUUUGGUAUCAGAGCCUUGGUUAAGAAGCACUUUGAAGCCUUUGGAGUGCAAACACGUGAGGGAGUGAACCAACCUGUCCUUUAACCGAGUGAAACACUUAGUGAGUUUGAUUGUGAUAGCAACAUGUCUGAUGAAGGAGAGGUGCCUUCACCAGUUUCAAGAGGUCUCAUAUUGGAUCAAGCACAUAUGCUAAGACUUGAAAGACAGCAGAAUGCAAUGCAAGAGCAAAUUGCUUAGAUCACACAAGCUUUGGCAAGACUAGUUGCACUCCAGCCAUAGAGAACGCAAUGGUCCUAGGCAGCAAGGGCGUGGUGAUGAUGAUGAAGAACCUGGAGUUGAUGAAGGUGCUUAUGAUCAGCACCUGCCUAGGCAUCCACAUGGCCAAAGAGACAACAUCAAGAUGAAGAUUUCAACCUUUCGAGGUACCAGCUCACCUGAAGAGUACCCAGAAUGGGUACAAAGAGUUGACAAAAUCUUUGAAUAUCAGGAAUACAGCGAAGCAAAGAAGUGCAAACUUGCUGCCAUUGAGUUUGUUGAUUAUGCAAACUUAUGGUGGGAGAACGUAAAGGCUCAAAGACAUAGGAAUAGGCUUGAUGAUGUACAAACUUGGUGUGAGAUCAAAAGAAUCAUGGAGAAGCGAUUUGUACCUGAAUAUUACAAACAGGAGUUGUAUAUCAAACUCCAAAGUUUGCGCCAAGGUGGAAUGUGUGUGAAAGACUAGUUAAAAAAUUUGAGAUGCUGAUGUUGAGAUGUGAUGUGAGGGAACCACAAAAACAAAUCAUUGCCCAUUUUCUUGGUGGUUUGAAUUAUGAAAUUGCUAAUACUGUUGAAUUGCAACCAUAUGUGUUUUUGCAGGAUAUGAUCAAACUUGCCAUUAAGGUUGAAAGACAAAGAAUGAAAGGUGGAUACAAGGGCACUACUACCAAAACAUUCACAAAACCUUCUAACACUAGCACCCCACUUACUAGUGAUAAAGGUGGCGUGAAGAAGUAUGACGAAGGAGAGAGCUCUGCCAAAGCACCCGUUGGUGUAAGCCAGGGUAAGGAGAAGGAAGUAGAUCCAGCCCCUCCCAAAAGAAGUAGAGACAUAAAAUGCUUCAAGUGCCUCGGCCAUGGACACAUUGCUUCAGAAUGUCCCAACAAGAGAGUAAUGGUGUUGAGGGAAGCCUAAUGGGACGUAGAGAGUGAAGAUGAGACUUGCGAAGAGAAAGAGAAUCAUGAAUCAUAUGGUGAUAAGGAAGUAGAGUAUGCUGAUUUUGGGGAGAUGUUAGUGGUCAGAAGAACCUUAAGUGCACAUGCAACAAAAGAGGAAGAGCAAAGAGAGAACAUCUUCCAUACCAGAUGCACUAUUUUCAGCAAGGUAUGUAAUGUCAUUAUUGAUGGUGGUAGCUGUACUAAUGUUGCUUCUACUACCUUAGUAGAGAAACUUAAUCUGCCCACCUUAGUGCAUCCUCAUCCUUAUAAGUUGCAAUGGCUGAAUGAUGAUGGUGAUGUUAAGGUGACUAGGCAAGUAGUUGUUCCUUUCUUCAUAGACAAGUAUAAAGAUGAAGUUGUGUGUGACAUUGUGCCCAUAAAUGCUAGCCAUUUGUUAUUAGGGAGGCCAUGGCAAUUUGAUAGAAGGGCUGUGCAUGAUGGUUUUAAAAAUACUUUUUUUAUGAAGAAUGGAAAAAGAAUUGUAUUAACCCCUCUUAGUCCCCAACAACUACAUCAAGAACAGCUGAUUUGUAACAAACAAAAGAAGGAGAGUUUGUUCCUCAACAAGGGGGACGUUUUGAAGGUUAUCACUAACCUCAAUUUUGUUUUUGUGCUUAUUGUUAAAGAAUUGCUGGAAUCUAAUCACAUUGCAGUUCCUCCCAUGUGGCCGAACUAUUGGUAGAAUUUGAAGAUGUUUUUUUCUGAAGAAUUGCCAAAGGGACUACCUCCCCUUCGUGGCAUUGAACAUCAUGUUGAUUUAAUUCUUGGAGCGGCAUUACCAAAUAGACCAGCCUACAGAAGCAAUCCCGAAGAGGCUAAGGAGUUGCAUAAGCAAGUCAUGGAGCUGUUGAAAAAGGGCUAUGUUCAUGAGUCCAUGAGCCCAUGCUCUGUUCCAGCUUUGUUGGUGCCCAAAAAGGAUGGUUUCAUGUGCAUGUGUGUUGAUAGUAGGGCCAUCAAUAAAAUCACUUUAAAGUAUCGCUAUCCCAUCCCUAGACUUGAUGACAUGCUUGAUGAGUUACAUGGUGCUGUUAUCUUUUCAAAAGUUGAUCUGAAAAGUGGUUACCUUCAGAUUCCAAUGAAGGAGGGGGAUGAAUGGAAAACAGCCUUUAAAACAAAGUUUGGGUUGUAUGAGUGGAUGCCUUUUGGCCUUUCUAAUGUUUCUAGCACUUUUAUGAGACUCAUGAAUCAUGUACUAUGCCACUUCAUUGGCAAAUUUGUGGUUGUUUAUUUUGAUGAUAUUCUGAUUUAUAACAGGAGUUUUGAAGAUCAUCUGAAGCAUCUAAGGGCUAUUUUUGAAGUUCUACGCCAAGAAAAGUUGUAUGUGAACAUCAAGAAGUGCACUUUUUGCCACGAUCAAGUCACAUUCCUUGGCUUUGUGGUAUCCAAACAUGGCGUGAAGGUGGACAAAGAGAAGGUGCAAGCAAUACAAGAAUGUCCAGUACCAACUAGAAUCUCGGAGGUGAGAAGUUUUCUUGGCCUAGCCUCUUUCUACAGGAGGUUUGUAAAGAAUUUCAGCAUCAUCAUGGCCCUCAUAACAGAAUGCUUAAAGAAGGAAGAGAAAUUUAAUUGGAGCAAAGAUGCCCAAAAUAGCUUUGAACUCAUCAAAGCAACACUGACCUCUACUCCAAUACUUGCAUUGUUGGAUUUUCGUAGACCUUUGAGGUAGAAUGCGAUGCUUCCGGAGUGGGAAUUGGGGCUGUUCUAAUGCAAAAAGGACAUUCCAUUGCUUAUUUCAGUGAAAAGUUGAAUGGAGCUAGUCUGAACUACUCAACCUAUGAUAAAGAGUUCUACGCUCUUGUUUGUGCCUUGGAGACUUGGCAACACUAUCUCUUGCCAAGAGAGUUUGUUAUCCACACAGACCAUGAGUCCUUGAAGCACCUAAAAGGACAAAGUAAGCUGAACAAGCGAUAUGCCAAAUGGGUGGAGUUUCUUGAAUCAUUCCAAUAUGUGAUCAAGUAUAAGAAGGGACACUCCAACAUUGUGGCUGAUGCAUUAUCCAGGAGGUAUGCCUUAAUCUCUUUGCUAAAUACUAAGCUGUUGGGAUUUGAAUUGAUGAUUGAACAAUAUAAGUCAGAUAGGGACUUUUCUUCUAUCUAUGAUUCUUGCAAAGAGAAAGCCUUUCAGGGAUUCUACCAACAUGAUGGCUACCUCUUUAAAAUGGGAAAGUUGUGUAUUCCCAACUGUUCUAUUAGAGAAUUAUUGGUAAGGGAGGCACAUGGAGGGGGUCUCGCUAGCCAUUUCGGUGAAAAGAAGACUUUAGAAGCCUUAAAGGAGCAUUUCUAUUAGCCAAGUAUGAUGAAAGAUGUACACAAAGUAGUAGAGAAAUGUGUGACGUGCAAGAAAGCUAAAAGCAAGGAGAUGGCACAAGGGCUGUAUAUGCCUCUUCCAGUUCCUAAUCACCUAUGAGAACAUGUGAACAUGAAUUUUGUACUUGGCUUGCCCAGAACUCAAAGGGGCAAAGAUUCCAUAUUGGUUGUUGUUGAUCGGUUUUCUAAAAUGGCUCAUUUUGUUCCUUGCCAUAAAACUGAUGAUGCCACAAAUAUUGUUGAUUUAUUCU